rnacentral:rRNA from 1 species
CACGUAGGGUGCGAGCGUUGUCCGGAAUUAUUGGGCGUAAAGAGCUCGUAGGCGGUGUGUCGCGUCGGCCGUGAAAACCUGCAGCUUAACUGUGGGCUUGCGGUCGAUACGGGCAUCACUGGAGUUCGGCAGGGGAGACUGGAAUUCCUGGUGUAGCGGUGAAAUGCGCAGAUAUCAGGAGGAACACCGGUGGCGAAGGCGGGGUCUCUGGGCCGAUACUGACGCUGGAGGAG